GGGGCCAUAGCUCAGCUGGGAGAGCGCCUGGUUUGCAACCAGGAGGUCGCCGGUUCGAUCCCGGCUGGCUCCACCA
rnacentral:tRNA from 1 species